CUUGGCUCCAAUGUGGAUCCCUCAGCGUGGUGGCACAAACCCUUCAUCUCACCAGCAAACAGGAGGAGAGGGGCAUGAGGGAGCCUGACAGGAAGUGAGGAUUCGAGACUUCAAAUACAAACAUUAUGAAAAACAAGCAACAUCUGCAAACAACACUCUCGCGCAGGCACUUCCUGGACAGUGGGAUGUAACCAAGCAAGCUCUGUGCAGUGGGAAAUUGGAGAAGUCCAACUUUCAGCAGCCUUCAUAUUUGGGUAAUCCUGUCUAAUGAUUUCAGGGUUGAAUCAUGGGAAACUCCAUUGGCUUCUUUAUAUAUAUGGACCAGAUCGCUGAGUGACCUGCUUUGGGGAGAGGGGGAAUAAAAAGAGGAAAAAAAAUACCCUGUAUGUAAACAAACAAUUUAUUGCUGCCUUCACAAAAUGUAAACAAAACCCAUGCACCUUGCCCCCGGGAUUGGCCUGGCAAUAUCUAGUUCGACAGAACUCGGCUAGGUGCCUUCUCUGCUUGUCUCCUCCACAUCCUGGAAAUUCUAGAGGGACAAAUCAUGCCUGAGUUGCUGCUAUCUAUGCCUUGUGGAAUCUUAAAUAGAAUGAAACAGGGCCCAGACAAUCAAUAUUACUGACAAAUUAAUCUCUGUGAAUAAACUGCUGUUCGCUUCCUGGGUGUCCCUGUCCCUAGAAUAAUUUUGUAUGUGGAGUUGAGGGCUUUUUACCACUUUGUUGGUAUUUUCUGUGAUCAUCUACCUGUGGGUGGCACCCGAUUGCCUGUAGGGACUCAGUUUUGGAAAAUCAAAUGAUACAGUGUCCCAGGCCUCGCCCUGUUAAUUUCCUCCCUGCUAGGGCUUCAUCUGAGUGCUAGAAUAAGCACACGCUUUAUACCGAGAAGAUGCCCUUCCCCAUCUUGCGGGAGGGAGAAGGCAAGAGUGGAGCAGGUGGCGGUUGUCUCCAUUUCUGCCCAAACUCAGUUUACCAGAAAUAGUUUGGAAGCCAGGAUAAUCAAGUGUUAAUUAAGGUUUCAAAAAUCUCAUUUAUCUUUUCUUAAGGAAUAGGAAGGGCACACAAUACGUCUACAACUUUCUCUAGAUUCUUAAAUUUGCACAGAAGGGGGCUCAGAAAGGAGGCUCCUCUCCAAACCUAAAAUCUACCCAGUCUGCAUCGAUGUUAAAUAUUGGACUGCUUUGGUACCAGUUGGUAAAGAACCCCCACCCCACCACCAAGCCUUCUGCUGCCCACUGCCCCAGCCCUUUCCCAA